AUGAAGAAUUUGAGGCUUCAGAUUAGGUGAAUGGCUUGGAAAACCACAGGGAGAAGGAGCACAGUUCUCUAAUGUAAAUCAAUGGCAUUGAAGUCCAUAAUUAAUGGCCUCCCUGUAUUCAUCCCCUUUGCAAAGUGACCUUGCAGAUUCUUCCAUCAAGAGGUCAGGGACUAUAAAUUCCUAAUCCUGGUGUCCCAAUCCCUAAACCAGAAUUGGAUUACAGACAAAUAUGUUGCAUAAAUGAAUGUGAGUUGACAAUUUUCUUUGGUGGUAAAGCG
rnacentral:lncRNA from 1 species